rnacentral:rRNA from 1 species
AGCAGCCGCGGUAAUUCCAGCUCCAAUAGCGUAUAUUAAAGUUGUUGCAGUUAAAAAGCUCGUAGUUGAAUUUCGGGAUCAAUAUGUCGGUCGUGCUUAGGUACGUACUGGCAUCAUUGGUUCCUCCUUUCUGAUGAACCAUGAUGCCAUUAAUUUGGUGUUAUGGGGAAUCAGGACUGUUACCUUGAAAAAAUUAGAGUGUUUAAAGCAGGCUCACGCUUGAAUACAUUAGCAUGGAAUAAUGAAAUAGGACGUUUGAUUCUAUUUUGUUGGUUUCUAGGAUCGACGUAAUGAUUAAUAGGGAUAGUUGGGGGCAUUAGUAUUCAAUUGUCAGAGGUGAAAUUCUUGGAUUUAUUGAAGACUAACUACUGCGAAAGCAUUUGCCAAGGAUGUUUUCAUUAAUCAAGAACGAAAGUUAGGGGAUCGAAGACGAUCAGAUACCGUCGUAGUCUUAACCAUAAACUAUGCCGACUAGGGAUCGGAUGAUGUUAAUUUUUUAAUGACUCU